CCUGUUUUGCACGCUCUCUGAUUUGGCUUCACAUCUUUCUCAUUCAUAGCUCAGAAAAACAGGUAAUUGAGAGGGAUAGCAAACACAAGCAAUGAACAAGAGCACAGACUCGUGGGAAAUCCUUCACAUCCCAGACAAACCUCCAACACCGCCUGACCAACAACCCACCGUGAAUGCUUUUGCUUCAGUUAUUGAGCCAAAGCUCGCCAACACUCUGGUAAGGCGUUUAAAUCAGAUAGCGCCACUGGAGUCUCUCCGCCAUGUGAAGCGUGUGCAUAAGAAAUAUCUUGAAGGAGGGAAAACUCAGUUAUCAGUGAUUUUAUGUCUAGCAUGUGAAAAUGACACUCAGUUGGACAGUAUGCCGCAUGGUGUACGGGAGCUAGUCAAUUCCUACCAGUUGAGUCCUUUUAUUACAAAAGUUUGCAAAUUUGAUGCAUCAUCAAAGGAAGAGUGGGAAGAACAGUGCAAGCUUUGGCCAACAUCAUAUCAUCCACCAACUUACAAUAUUGAUGGCAUUACUGGAUUUAGCGAAGAGGACUCACAAUUCGUUUUCAGCUUCAUGAGAUUUGCUGUUGAGUUGGCAAAAUCUGAUCAUGGUUUGGUAGUGAAUGCUGCAGUGAUUGUGGAUCCUUCAGUUAAGCAAGUAAUUGCUAGUGCAUGUGAUGAAAGUUGCUGUUGGAAUACUCCCACUAACAAAACCAGCAUUCGACCUUGCUCCUUGAAACAGCCAGAAGAUUGUAUUUCCCAUCCUGAUUCCAAUAUAGUAGUAACCCAUGACAGCUUACUUCCAAAUGAUUCCCCCACUAAACUUGAACAAUUAUGUACUGGCGUUUCUUGUUUAUACCCUUGGCAGUGGUCUGAAAAACAACCACAUACACCAAAUUCUUGUUAUUGGCACCCUUUACGACAUGCUGCACUUGUCGCCAUUGAAUCCUCUGCUGCUAGGGACAGGCAACUUUUCUCUGGUUUGGGAGACAUUGAAGAUAAAUCUUCCGAGUUGGAUCAUACGCAGUCUUCUUUCACAAGCUCUCCAGCUAAAAGACAAAAAAUCAAUCUUAAAAAUGUUGAGGAUGAUGAGAAACUGGAUACUCUUACUGAAGGGCAUCAUUCUGUAGUAGCCAGACCUUAUCUAUGUACUGGGUAUGACAUCUACCUUGUUUGGGAGCCAUGUACAAUAACUAGCAACUGCUUUGGCCGCCCAAUAUGAGAGAUUGAAGUCGCUGACAGAUUGUGUAGCACUGCUCUUGACAAUCUUUUAUGCUGCUUCUAUGCAUUGGGCGCUCAAGUUUAUCCAACAGAUAAAAAUAUAGUCUGGCAGCCUAAGCAUAAUUGGGCCAGAUUGACAUCUGGAACUUUGUGACCGUUAUUCUCCAUCGUCUAACCAGCCUUGCUUGUACAAGCACAAGGUUGUAAGUGAGUUGAGCUGCUUGUGAGUCGUUCAGGCUUUGGUCAGUUUGUUCAUUUAGACAGAUUUAGUAAAAGAGCCAAGCAGGGGCACAAGUUCAGGCUCACUAAACAAGCUAAGCUUGAGCCGCAUCAAAUUCUGCUUGUGGGCUUGUGCACCUCCAUGUGGUGGUUUAACACUCAUGGUGUGCAAUGGCACUUGUUCAUCAAAGAAUUAGGCGCAUAUUUUAUGCUUUUCCAAAUCUCAAUGCUGGUGCCUUGGGCAGUGUUCACAGAUUACAGGGAGAGAAAAGCUUAAAUCAUCGCUUUGCUGUUUUCAGG